AUAUUCUGACCUAAAUGUCGAGCCCCAG
rnacentral:piRNA from 1 species